GGGUGUGUAGUUAAUAGCUGCGCAUCUUGACGUUAGCAACAGAAGAAGCACCGGCUAACUCCGUGCCAGCAGCCGCGGUAAUACGGAGGGUGCGAGCGUUAAUCGGAAUUACUGGGCGUAAAGCGCAUGCAGGUGGUUCAUUAAGUCAGAUGUGAAAGCCCGGGGCUCAACCUCGGAACUGCAUUUGAAACUGGUGAACUAGAGUGCUGUAGAGGGGGGUAGAAUUUCAGGUGUAGCGGUGAAAUGCGUAGAGAUCUGAAGGAAUACCAGUGGCGAAGGCGGCCCCCUGGACAGACACUGACACUCAGAUGCGAAAGCGUGGGGAGCAAACAGGAUUAGAUACCCUGGUAGUCCACGCCGUAAACGAUGUCUACUUGGAGGUUGUGGCCUUGAGCCGUGGCUUUCGGAGCUAACGCGUUAAGUAGACCGCCUGGGGAGUACGGUCGCAAGAUUAAAACUCAAAUGAAUUGACGGGGGCCCGCACAAGCGGUGGAGCAUGUGGUUUAAUUCGAUGCAACGCGAAGAACCUUACCUACUCUUGACAUCCAGAGAAGCCAGCGGAGACGCAGGUGUGCCUUCGGGAACUCUGAGACAGGUGCUGCAUGGCUGU
rnacentral:rRNA from 1 species